CGCCUCCACAAGAGGUUUCUUACAGCACACUGGGGAGGAGAAGGCAAUUAACGUGCACGCGCUCGCAAAAGGCUACUCAGUACGUGUGAAAUUGGAAACCGGAAGUACGAAGACGUGAUGGGACAGACAUUAGGCGCUAAGGUCUUUUGUCAGCAGUGAACCAGCCAGAUUAAUCGUUAAGGUCUCAAAAUAGUAUUUUAAGCGAAAAAGGAGGUGAAAAAAUAUUACAACCAGUAGGUAGUCUUGGAGCAGCCAUCCUUUAAAGAAAGCGUAAUCGCUCAUUGGUCUAGAUUUUUGCGCCUAAAAUGCAUCGAAACUUAAUAAAUUUAGCGUAAGUGAAGACUUCAAAUGCACAAGCUGGAG
rnacentral:ncRNA from 1 species